CAGCGCGCGGACGGGUGAGUAAUGCCUAGUGAAUCUGCCGGGUAGUGGGGGACAACGUUUCGAAAGGAACGCUAAUACCGACAUACGUCCUACGGGUAGAAAGCAGGGGACCUUCGGGCCUUGCGCUAUCUGAUGAGCCUAGGUCGGAUUAGCUAGUUGGUGGGGUAAUGGCUCACCAAGGCGACGAUCCGUAACUGGUCUGAGAGGAUGAUCAGUCACACGGGAACUGAGACACGGUCCAAACUCCUACUGGAUGCAGCAUGGGGGAAUAUUGGACAAUGGGCGAAAGCCUGAUCCAGCCAUGCCGCUGUGUGUGAAGAAGGUCUUCCGAUUGUAAAGUACUUUAAGUUGGGAGGAAGGGCAGUAAACUAAUACCUUGCUGUUUUGACGUUACCGACCCAAUAAGCACCGGCUAACUCUGUGCCAGCACCCUCGGUAAUACAGACGGUGCAAGCGUUAAUCGGAAUUACUGGGCGUAAAGCUCGCGUAGGUGGUUUGUUNAGUUGGAUGUGAAAGCCCCGGGCUCAACCUGGGAACUGCAUCCCCAACUGGCAAGCUAGAGUACGGUAGAGGGUGGUGGAAUUUCCUGUGGAUCNUGAAAUGCGUAGAUAUAGGAAGGAACACCAGAGGCGAAGGCGACCACCUGGACUGAUACUGACACUGAUGUGCCAUAGCGUGGGGAGCAAACAGGAUUAGAUACCCUGGUAAUCCACGCCCCAACGAUGUCUACUAGUCGUUGGAAUCCUUGAGAUNUUACUGGCGCAUCUAACGCAUUAUGUUGACCGCCUGGUGAGUACAGCCGCAGGUUAAACUCAAUGUAUUGACGGGGNCGCACAAGNGUGCACCUGUNUUUANUCNAAUCACACUAACACUUACCUGCUUANUGCAGAUACUUCCAAAAUGGAUNGGUGCCUNCCGACUCUGACUCAGAGCUGCAUGCUGCCUACUCCUUCCG
rnacentral:rRNA from 1 species